GGAUGAAGAACGCAGCGAAAUGCGAUACUUGGUGUGAAUUGCAGAAUCCCGUGAACCAUCGAGUCUUUGAACGCAAGUUGCGCCCGAAGCCAUCAGGUUGAGGGCACGUCUGCCUGGGCGUCACAUAUCGUUGCCCAAUGCCUAUUGCAGUGCAAUAGGAAUUUCUAGGGCGAAUGAUGGCUUCCCGUGAGCGUUGUUGCCUCGCGGUUGGUUGAAAAUCGAGUCCUUGGUAGGGUGUGCCAUGGUAGAUGGUGGUCGAGUUAGAACGAUACCGAUCAUGUGCAUGCUCCCCAAAAUAUGGCCUCUAUGACCCACACGCGUCUUUUGACGCUCAUGACGAGACCUCAGGUCAGGCGGGGCUACCCGCUGAAUUUAAGCAUAUCAAUAAGCGGAGGA
rnacentral:misc_RNA from 1 species